GGGGGGGUUCUAAGAGGCAAUAUUUUUUUUUGUACACCUAUAAAAGAAUUUUUUUUUUCUCACUUGAUGACUGGAAAUAUAUUUUAUUUAUUAAAAUUUAUAGGCCUAUCUUCCAAGAAAGGAUUUUUUUUGCACUCUGCCUGGGAAGAUUUUUUCCCCCUAAUUUUUUCCUGGGAAUAAAUUUUUUUUUGGUCCCCCCCCCCCAUCGGUUUUCUAAUGGUCCGUCCCUAAGGUCGUCCUUUCAAUGAAGUGGAAUCUCACAAUCAGGUCCAUUGCACAAGAGUUCAUCAUAUCGCUGAACUGAAGAAUUCCUACAGGUCAUAAAAGAGAUCCACUGAAGAAUUCCUGUUAAUACCCAUGAAGAG
rnacentral:lncRNA from 1 species